rnacentral:misc_RNA from 1 species
UUAAAUUCCUGUUGUUUAUACGUAUUGUGAUGGCUCCAGCAUCAUAUGAGGUUGUCAAAGGCACAUGAAAUUUAGUGGUAUCCUGAAACUGGAAUGUCAAGGUGUAUCGGUGUCUUGAAAUGCAGAACCUUGGCUACUAAUUGUUGUAAGAUGUGUCAUGCAUGUUUUCUUUGUUUUGUAUUUGAUGCUUCUUUAGGGAAAGUUAUUCUCUAGCUUCCAAAUUCUACAAAUGCAGAAUGCUCAUUGCUGAUUACAAGACCAAGAUUAAAUUCCAUAUGCAUUG